CCCUUAGAUGUUCUGGGCCGCACGCGCGCUACACUGACGAAUGCAACGAGUUUAUAACCUUGGCCGAAAGGUCUGGGUAAUCUCCAAAUUUCGUCGUGAUGGGGAUAGAUUAUUGCAAUUAUUAAUCUUCAACGAGGAAUGCCUAGUAAGCGCAAGUCAUCAGCUUGCGUUGAUUACGUCCCUGCCCUUUGUACACACCGCCCGUCGCUCCUACCGAUUGAAUGGUCCGGUGAAGCGUUCGGACCGUGGCCUUUGGACGGUUCGCCGUCUGUUGGCUGCGGGAAGUUCGUUAAACCUUNUNAUUUAGNGGAAGGAGAANUCGUANCA
rnacentral:rRNA from 1 species